ACUAACUGAGCCUGGCCCAGACCUUCUUUCUUAAUUCCCUUUCUCUUCUUUUAGUUAUUUCACGGACCAAGUUAAAGUUUUUAGGACGAGAGCUACUCGUAGACCAGUCAUGUGCUGACUUGGCAUAUUUCCACUUUGAUGAGCUUUGUAACAGGCCUCUAAGUGCUGCUGAUUACAUUGAAAUAUGUAAAGCAUUCAAUACAAUAUUCAUACAAGAUAUUCCAUGCAUUACUAACCAAAUGAGGACUCAAGGGAGACGAUUCAUUACACUAAUAGAUACACUCUAUGAUCAUAAAGUAUGUGAACUAACUAUAUACUGUGUGACUCUCUCUCUCUCUCUCUCCCCCUCUGAGCAUAUGUUUACAUGUACAUGUCAAUGCAUAAAUAAUUCAUUAAGUGCCAAACCAAAACCCAGCCUCAAUUAAUAAUAUCACCUAAUAAAUAAUAAUCACCUAAAGCACAUGGUCAAGCACAUGUCAAGUUUAUAGUGCCAGGAGAACAGAAA